rnacentral:rRNA from 1 species
AUUGAACGCUGGCGGCAUGCCUUACACAUGCAAGUCGAACGGCAGCACGGGAGCAAUCCUGGUGGCGAGUGGCGAACGGGUGAGUAAAGUAUCGGAACGUGCCCAGUCGUGGGGGAUAACGUAGCGAAAGUUACGCUAAUACCGCAUACGAUCUAUGGAUGAAAGCGGGGGAUCGCAAGACCUCGCGCGAUUGGAGCGGCCGAUAUCAGAUUAGGUAGUUGGUGGGGUAAAGGCUCACCAAGCCGACGUUCUGUAGCUGGUCGGAGAGGACGACCAGCCACACUGGGACUGAGACACGGCCCAGACUCCUACGGGAGGCAGCAGUGGGGAAUUUUGGACAAUGGGCGAAAGCCUGAUCCAGCCAUGCCGCGUGCAGGAUGAAGGCCUUCGGGUUGUAAACUGCUUUUGUACGGAACGAAAAGGUUUGGCCUAAUAAGCUGAGCUCAUGACGGUACCGUAAGAAUAAGCACCGGCUAACUACGUGCCAGCAGCCGCAGUAA